CUUGAAACAUAUUUGUAGCCGGAGCGGAAAUAAAGCUGCUUCCGCGCUCACGACUCUUGAGAAUUUGACAACGACUUUGCUCUGUCGCACUUCCAGCAACUCGCCCAGCUGAUGGCAAAAGCGCUUCUUCUUCUUAUUCUACUUUUUGACUUUCCUCGCUCUCUUACUCGCGUUUAUUUUUUCCCGCGUGCAGUUGCUGUGGCGUUCAUGCGGGGCCAAGAAGAAGAAGAAAAAAGGAUGCCGAUCCUUGGCUGUGAACGCAAAAGAAAUUUACGCAAAUUUAUUGUAUUGGACUUGUGUGUGUGUGUGUGUAGUAUAUCUAGCUAUAGAUAUAUCUACUCUUUGAUGGCGUCACACCCGCUUGAGAGAGCUCACUCGGACUCGGCAACCCGUGCAAAUGCGUCUCGAGAGUCGUCAAUAAUUCAAAACGGGAAAGGAAAACAGAAAUUUCGGUCGUGUGUGUGUGUGCGCCGGGAGGGAAAACGUCUUCAACUUUAAUACGGGCCUAAAAAUAGAAAAUCCAUUUUUUUUUUUAUUAACGCUCGAUGCAGUUUUGAAUUAUUGAUUGAGUGGUGAGUUGAUGACGAAAUAUUAAUUCGUCUUAUUUUUAGCACCCUAGAAAUUAGAAACCCUUUUGGCUUUCAAGUGGGUCCUGGAUGGUUUAUAUUGUGACGGUUAAUAAUUAUCUGCCAGUUUCAUGCAAAACUGACAAUUUUUUAUUUUAUCUUGACUGCUCAGUGUAACUUGAGGAAACUUACUAUUCGAAACUACCGCGGUUAUCGUUUUUGAACGGUUUGGAUUUAGGGGGGGGGUCGAUUUUUAAUAAUUUCUAUCGAUAUCUUAAAAUGGCGCUAAAUAGAAGACUAUGAGUGUCGUCUGCUCGUUUUCACACUUACUAGCAUGCUUACUAGUUUCGAACAAAGUGAUGAAGUUCAAGAUUAUAACGAAAAUAAAACGAUUUCUUUUUGGGAAACAAAAAUAACAUUUUAACAAAUAAAAUUACAAAAUGUGGCCGUCGUGUGAACUCGGGUGUCUCGUCUGCGCUGAAUACAAUACACACUCCAUGCUGUUAAAAGCAAGUAAAUAACACUAAGAAUACAAAUUGAAUGAAUAUUGGAGUGCAUAAAAUAGAAGAGAAACCUGUUCUGAAUUUAUGAAAUGUGCAUUCCUGACUAGCAUUUAUCAUGUGAGCCCCCUGUCGAUGCAUGGCAAUUUGUUUGCACUGAAUAACUGUUUUCUUUGUGCAGGUUUGAGGCCAGAGUCACCCCAUAACUACAAGAUAUGACAGUUUUGCUUGUGCUGGUAUUACAUACCUAUCACCAGUGCUGAUGUAGUUUAAGUGUCAUCAGCAACAAUCUCAGCAUCAUCGCUUGGAUAAACAGCAUCCUUCUUGAUUGGAGAAACUACCGAUGCCGGCCGAAUUAACGGAGCUCUUCUUCCCCUAUCUUUAAAAGUCCUCGUGUACGCCCAUGUGAGUGUGGGUGUAUUCACGAGGACCCCCUUUUUACCCCAUCUCGACUGGUGGAUUCUGCGGAUGGAACCCUUGAAAAUGCCUGGCCGUAUUUCCCAGGCUUAAAGACGCGCGGGAAUAUUGUGCGCGUGUUAGAGGCCUAACACGCACGCCAUAUCGCACCCCGGCCUAUCAGCAGCCAAGGGAUAUCUGUCGACAGCUAUCAAAUCGUCCUCGAUCUAUAAAUGUACGUAUAAUAGGCGCUAUAUAAUAUGUUGGGCUCGUUCUGCUCUGACGAUAUGAUGGAACGUCGUCUUAUAUAAAAAGAACAUGUAUAGCGUCGGGGCGCCAUUAUUCAACAAGUCUAUAAAUCGCCAAUGCUUCUCCAUCAUUUCGCUAGAUGUGUAGACCGAAAUCAGUCGAUAUAGUAUACUGCACAGAUCGAUAGGAUAUCCAAACUGAAGUUGAAGAAAUGGGGGGAAAUUUCACUGGGGAAUUUUGUAAAAGUGGAGAGACUGCUGCUGCUGCUGCUGCUGUAGCUCCCGCCGAGAGAGAGAGCGUGAGUCGUAAAAUAGAAGUUGACGUAUGGAUAUAGCUACAGCACGGUGUUGUGCCAGAGGGUCACUUGAAGGUCAAGUUCGUAUUACGUUGCAAAAGGACCUGGAAAUGGAAAUUUUCGUUGAGAGGUUCUUUUUCUUUAUUUUUCUUUCAAGCCGGGAGAGAGAGAGAGGUGAUGCUGGACUAUUGGCCGGCAACGAGACUUUUUUUUUCGUUGGUGUUGCUGCUGCUGCUGGCCCGUCACCAUGGCGUCGUUGCGUCGACCAACAUAAUAAACAACGUCGAAGCUUAUCUCAUUCCGGAUGCCUUCGCAUCUGUUUUCUCAUGUUCGGUUCCUUCCUUUUUUAUUAUUUUUCGUCUUGUUUUUCUUCUGUGCCGUCGUGACGCCACGACGCCAUGACGCCCGUCGCCGGCCCCCUGAUCCAGCCUGUCAAAGCUAUAAGCGCCAGCGCCAAAAUGAUGAUGAAGAACAAGAGGGGCCCGUCGGAGGAGAGACGGCCCGGCGCCACGGCGGUAGUAGAACGGGACGGGCAGUUGGCAAUCGGCCCGUCAUCGGCAACACCUCGUCUACUAUCUACUAAUACACAUUCUCAUCUGCAGCUAACAACAACAACAACACGACAGCAGCAGCAGCACCAAUGGAAUUAAACGAGUUGGAUUGCCCAGCAUACCUCCUCUCUCACGGCUGCUAUGAGCGUAUAGCAACAUUUGGGGAAUGAAGCACGCUGACAGCUAUCGCGAGCUAUCGUGCGUGCUGUUUACUUCCUAUACAUGUUUGAUAUUCCCACUCGAAAUUUCAUGAUCAAUUUCCCUCCUUUCUUCUUCUUUUUUUUUUCAAGCUGUUUUGAAUAUUUCAAUAUCGUUUACAACCCAAAGAGGAAAUUGAAUGUUUUAAAAGAAACAAAUUCCCUGGCGUCGUAAAUUAUUUGGCGAAUGAAAACCCCCCAAACAAAUAAAAACAAAAACACAUGGGAGGGAAAUUCGAGUAUGUAUAAUAAAAAAACCUCCAAUAGUAAAUCAAUCUAUUUGUUGUGCAGAAUAUUUAAACUGAGCUGGGCACAUCACGCCAUUUGCCGCAUGCCAAGUUGGCAAGACUUCGAAAAUCACGUUAAGAGAUAUUAUCGUUUGUGUAAAACCUAAUUCCUUUGUAGCAGAACUCAAAAAAGGAAAAAAGGUUAAAUGUGUAAGAAAAAGAAGAAAUGACAGGUGAUGUAGUACAUUGUAUGCAGCAGUUUUGUGUGUGUGAGCGUAUUAGCGUGUUGUGCUCCAUUUGUCGACCGCCCUGAUUUCUUUUUAACUUUUUUAUUUCGACUCAAUAUUUCUUGCCUGGACAUUUUUGGGGUUUGCGCUGGGGUCGCUGCUGCUGCAGUAGCCAAGGCGUGCGUGCCCGUGACUGAACAGCCAGCCCACUUCUAUACUAAAUAGUGUAGAUAGCAGCAAUGGGCGUUUUCACGGUUAGUUUGACAGCAGUCAAUAUAUACCAGUCUCAGCGAGUGGUAUAAAACAUAUCGGAAGAACAACUCGAGCUAUAGACGUUAGCGUUCGCAGAAAAACCAACUCCACCCAGCUUUAGUCGACCGCUUUUUUGAAACAUUCAUACAUAUCCACAAUCACCUCCCUUUCGGGUUUCUUCCAUAUCCUUUUCGACCAGAAAAGAAGAAAGAAAAGCUUUUCUUAUUUAACCAUUUUUUAUUUUAUUUUUUACCUUUCGCUUUUC